rnacentral:ncRNA from 1 species
UGGCCUCGGAUCAGGCGGGGAUACCCGCUGAACUUAAGCAUAUCAAUAAGCGGAGGAAAAGAAACCAACCGGGAUUGCCCUAGUAACGGCGAGUGAAGCGGCAACAGCUCAAAUUUGAAAUCUGGCCCCUCCGGGGUCCGAGUUGUAAUUUGCAGAGGAUGCUUCGGCGUUGGCACCGGCCCAAGUGCCUUGGAACAGGCCGUCCCAGAGGGUGAGAACCCCGUGUCCGGCCGCGUCGCCAGCGCCAUGUGUAGCUCCCUCGACGAGUCGAGUUGUUUGGGAAUGCAGCUCUAAGCGGGUGGUAAAUUCCAUCUAAAGCUAAAUACCGGCCGGAGACCGAUAGCGCACAAGUAGAGUGAUCGAAAGAUGAAAAGCACUUUGAAAAGAGAGUUAAAAAGCACGUGAAAUUGUUGAAAGGGAAGCGCUCGCGGCCAGACUCGCGGCGGGGGGUCAGGCGGCCGUGUCCCUCCCCCUGUCCGGCGGGCAAGCAUCAGUUGGGGCGGCCGGAGAACGGCGCCGGGAACGUAGCCCCUCGGGGUGUUAUAGCCCGGCGCACAAUGCGGCCCGCCCCGACUGAGGAUCGCGCUUCGGCCCGGAUGCUGGCGUAAUGGCCGUGAGCGGCCCGUCUUGAAACACGGACCAAGGAGUCUACCAUCCAUGCGAGUGUUUGGGUGUCAAACCCGUGCGCGCAAUGAAAGUGAACGGAGGCGGGAGCUCGCACGAGCGCACCGUCGACCGAUCCCGAUGUUCUCGGAAGGAUUUGAGUACGAGCAUGGCCGGUGGGACCCGAAAGAUGUUGAACUAUGCGUGGAUAGGGCGAAGCCAGAAGAAAUUCUGGUGGAGGCUCGUAGUCGUUCUGACGUGCAAAUCGAUGACCAAAUCUGCGUAUGGGGGCGAAAGACCAAUCGAAGCAUCUAGUAGCUGGUUCCUGUCGAAGUUUCCCUCAGGAAAGCAGUAUGGCACGCAGUUUUAUGAGGUAAAGCGAAUGAUUAGAGGACUGGGGGGUGAAACACCCUUCACCUAUUCUCAAACUUUAAAUAUGUAAGAAGCCCUUGUUACUUGGUUGAACGUGGGCCUUCGAAUGCGCCGUACUAGUGGGCCAUUUUUGGUAAGCAGAACUGGCGAUGCGGGAUGAACCGAACGCGCGGUUAAGGUGCCGGACUAUUCGCUCAUCAGACCCCACAAAAGGUGUUAGUUCAUCUAGACAGCAGGACGGUGGCCAUGGAAGUCGGAACCCGCUAAGGAGUGUGUAACAACUCACCUGCCGAAUCAACUAGCCCCGAAAAUGGAUGGCGCUUAAGCGCGCGACCUAUACC